rnacentral:misc_RNA from 1 species
GAAAUGCGAUACGCAAUGCGAAUUGCAGAAUUCCGCGAGUCAUCAGAUCUUUGAACGCAACUGGCGCUGGAGGGAUAUCCUUCCAGCAUGCUUGUUUCAGUGUCUUGAAACCUCACACAACUUAAUGUGAUUGAAGUGCAUUGUGUAUUUACUAUACAAUGCAUUUCUCUCAUGAAAUAUGAAAGUGUGGAUCUUUCGAUCCAGCGAAGUAGUCACAUUCUAAAUGUGAUUUCGUUGGUAAUCUGAAUUAUCCGUAAACACUUUUUACAUAAUAACAAAACAAUCUUCAAUAUGCAUCUGAAAUCAAGCAAGAUCACCCGCUGAACUUAA